rnacentral:rRNA from 1 species
UACGAAGGGGGCUAGCGUUGUUCGGAAUUACUGGGCGUAAAGCGCACGUAGGCGGAUAUUUAAGUCAGGGGUGAAAUCCCGCAGCUCAACUGCGGAACUGCCUUUGAUACUGGGUAUCUUGAGUAUGGAAGAGGUAAGUGGAAUUGCGAGUGUAGAGGUGAAAUUCGUAGAUAUUCGCAGGAACACCAGUGGCGAAGGCGGCUUACUGGUCCAUAACUGACGCUGAGGUGCGAAAGCGUGGGGAGCAAACAGG